rnacentral:lncRNA from 1 species
UGGAGUGUUUCAAGAGAAGAGUUUUUAUUUUUCAACUCCGUUUUUGGAAAGCAAUGGCCACUGGUGGAGAAGGAGAAGUAGAAGAUUAAGUCAAGUCACAGCUUUUGUUUUUUUUUUUUUGGAAAUGGAAUAAAAUAAUUUUGGGAAAUUUUGGGCGAUUUUGUUACUUUUAUGGAAUAUAUGUUGAUUUGCCAGUCAUAGAAGCGUACCUCCUUGUGGAUGACAGUACCCCCCAGGUUUGGGGAAGAUUGGAGGAUAACUUGGAUCUCCAACCAUUCAUCUAGCAGGAUUUUGGAGAAGAAACCAGCUCUCACUUGUAGAAGCAACAGGUUUUAUAAUAAAAUUUACGUUUUCAAUUUUUCUUCAAUAAUAUCUUUCAACUUUAA